AGCGGCGGACGGGUGAGUAACGCGUGGGUAACCUGCCUCAUACAGGGGGAUAACAGUUAGAAAUGACUGCUAAUACCGCAUAAGACCACAGCACCGCAUGGUGCGGGGGUAAAAACUCCGGUGGUAUGAGAUGGGCCCGCGUCUGAUUAGCUAGUUGGUAAGGUAACGGCUUACCAAGGCGACGAUCAGUAGCCGACCUGAGAGGGUGACCGGCCACAUUGGGACUGAGACACGGCCCAA
rnacentral:rRNA from 1 species